AAGCUAAUACCGGAUAAUAUUUUGUAACCGCAUUGUUCAAAAGUGAAAGAACGGUCUUGCUGUCACUUAUAGAUGGAUCCGCGCUGCAUUAGCUAGUUGGUAAGGUAACGGCUUACCAAGGCAACGAUGCAUAGCCGACCUGAGAGGGUGAUCGGCCACACUGGAACUGAGACACGGCCCAGACUCCUACGGGAGGCAGCAGCC
rnacentral:rRNA from 1 species